ACGUAGGGGGCGAGCGUUGUCCGGAGUUACUGGGCGUAAAGCGCCCGCAGGCGGUCGUGCGCGUUUGGGGUGACAGUCGGUGGCUUAACUGCCGGAGUGCUCCAAAGACGGUACGACUUGAGGGCCUCAGAGGGACAUGGAAGUCCGGGUGGAGCGGUGAAAUGCGUAGAUAUCCGGAGGAACACCAAAGGCGAAGGCAGUGUCCUGGGAGGCUUCUGACGCUCAGGGGCGAAAGCCAGGGGAGCGAACGGGAUUAGAUACCCCGGUAGUCCUGGCCGUAAACGAUGACCACCAGGUGUGCGACGUAUCGACCCGUUGUGCGCCGAAGCUCACGCAGUAAGUGGUCCGCCUGGGGAGUACGGUCGCAAGAUUA
rnacentral:rRNA from 1 species